GUUUCCAGGUAAUGUUGUGUGAUAUGUAUCCUUUCCAGGUAAUGUUGUGUGAUAUGUUUCCAGGUAAUGUUGUGUGAUAUGUAUCCUUUCCAGGUAAUGUCGUGUGAUAUGUUUCCAGGUAAUGUUUUGUGAUAUGUUUCCUGGUAAUGCUGUGUGAUAUAUUUUCAGGUAAUGUCGUGAUGUGUUUCCAGGUAAUGUUGUGUGAUAUGUUUCCAGGUAAUGUCGUGUGAUGUGUUUCCAGGUAAUGUUGUGUGAUAUGUUUCCA